GACGAACGCUGGCGGCGUGCCUAAUACAUGCAAGUAGAACGCUGAAGAGAGGAGCUUGCUCUUCUUGGAUGAGUUGCGAACGGGUGAGUAACGCGUAGGUAACCUGCCUUGUAGCGGGGGAUAACUAUUGGAAACGAUAGCUAAUACCGCAUAACAAUGGAUGACACAUGUCAUUUAUUUGAAAGGGGCAAUUGUUCCACUACAAGAUGGACCUGCGCUGUAUUAGCUAGUAGGUGAGGUAAUGGCUCACCUAGGCGACGAUACAUAGCCGACCUGGGAGGGUGAUCGGCCACACUGGGACUGAGACACGGCCCAGGCUCCUACGGGAGGCAGCAGUAGGGAAUCAUCGGCAAUGGGGGCAACCCUGAACGAGCAACGCCGCGUGAGGGAAGAAGGUUUUCGGAUCGGAAAGCUCUGUUGUAAGUCAAGAACGGGUGUGAGAGUGGAAAGUUCACACUGUGACGGUAGCUUAACAGAAAGGGACGGCUAACUACGUG
rnacentral:rRNA from 1 species